CCUACCGGCGGCAGCAGUGGGGAAUAUUGCACAAUGGGGGAAACCCUGAUGCAGCGACGCCGCGUGAGUGAAGAAGUAUCUCGGUACGUAAAGCUCUAUCAGCAGGGAAGAACAUGACGGUACCUGACUAAGAAGCCCCGGCUAACUACGUGCCAGCAGCCGCGGUAAUACGUAGGGGGCAAGCGUUAUCCGGAUUUAAUGGGUGUAAAGGGAGCGUAGACGGCAGCCCCAGUCUGGAGUGAAAUCCCGGGGCUUAACCCCGGAACUGCUUUGGAAACUGUGCGGCUGGAGUGCAGGAGGGGUAAGCGGAAGUCCUAGUGUAGCGGUGAAAUGCGUAGAUAUUAGGAGGAACACCGGUGGCGAAGGCGGCUUACUGGACUGUAACUGACGUUGAGGCUCGAAAGCGUGGGGAGCAAACAGGAUUAGAUACCCUAGUAGUC
rnacentral:rRNA from 1 species